rnacentral:rRNA from 1 species
GUGCCAGCCGCCGCGGUAAUACAGAGGUGGCAAGCGUUGCUCGGUAUCACUGGGCUUAAAGGGCGCGUAGGCGGUGCGGUACGGUUUCGGUGAAAUCCCUCGGCCCAACCGAGGAACAGCCGGGGCUACGGCCGCGCUAGACGGCAUCAGGGGACAGUGGAACUCCCGGUGGAGCGGUGAAAUGCGUAGAUAUCGGGAGGAACGCCGGUGGCGAAAGCGACUGUCUGGGGUGCCUGUGACGCUGAGGCGCGAAAGCCAGGGGAUCAAACGGGAUUAGAAACCCCCGUAGUCC